rnacentral:rRNA from 1 species
ACGAACGCUGGCGGCGUGCUUAACACAUGCAAGUCGAGCGGUAAGGCCCUUUCGGGGGUACACGAGCGGCGAACGGGUGAGUAACACGUGGGUGACCUGCCCUCAGCUCUGGGAUAAGCCUGGGAAACCGGGUCUAAUACCGGACAUGACUCCAUGACGCAUGUUGUGGGGUGGAAAGCCUUGUGCGGCUGAGGAUGGGCCCGCGGCCUAUCAGCUUGUUGGUGGGGUGANGGCCUACCAAGGCGACGACGGGUAGCCGGCCUGAGAGGGCGACCGGCCACACUGGGACUGAGACACGGCCCAGACUCCUACGGGAGGCAGCAGUGGGGAAUCUUGCGCAAUGGGCGAAAGCCUGACGCAGCGACGCCGCGUGAGGGAUGACGGCCUGG